GUAUUUGAUUGCGUUUUAAGGCAACAUGAACAUUCUAUUAGACAUUCAGAUUAUAUGAUAAGACAUAGGCCCGAAGGCCUACGGUGGGUUCACAUGUGGUGUUUGGGAUUCAAGGGCUCGGGCGUGCACAUGCCCCGAGAGGCCAGCGACAACCCUCGCCUACGAUUCGAUAAUGAUCCUUCCGCAGGUUCACCUACGGAAA
rnacentral:misc_RNA from 1 species